UACGUAGGGCGCGAGCGUUGUCCGGAAUUAUUGGGCGUAAAGAGCUCGUAGGCGGCCUGUUGCGUCCGCUGUGAAAUCCCGGGGCUCAACCCCGGGCUUGCAGUGGAUACGGGCUGGCUAGAGGCAGGCAGGGGAGAACGGAAUUCCUGGUGUAGCGGUGGAAUGCGCAGAUAUCAGGAGGAACACCGGUGGCGAAGGCGGGUCUCUGGGCCGUUACUGACGCUGAGGAGCGAAAGCGUGGGGAGCGAACAGG
rnacentral:rRNA from 1 species